AUGCUGGGAAGCUCACCUACAUAGACACAAAAUACGUGGUACAUGUGAAGAGUUAAAGAAUUUGACACCAAUUUUACAUAUGUGCAACAGUCAGAAUUCUACUUGGAGCCAAACAUUAAGUACGUAUUUCAAGUGAGAUGUCAAGAAACAGGCAAAAGGUACUGGCAGCCUUGGAGUUCACUGUUUUUUCAUAAAACACCUGAAACAGUCCCCAGGUCACAUCAAAAGCAUUCCAACAUGACACAUGGAAUUCUGGGCUAACAGUUGCUUCCAUCUCUACAGGGCACCUUACUUCUGAUUAAAAGAAGGAUCUUAUUGUUAAUACCAAAGUGGCUUUAUGAAGAUAUUCCUAAUAUGAAAAACAGCAAUGUUGUGAAAAUGCUACAGAAAAUAGUGAACUUAUGAAUAAUAAUUCCAGUGAGCAGGUCCUAUAUGUUGAUCCCAUGAUUACAGAGAUAAAAGAAAUCUUCAUCCCAGAACACAAGC
rnacentral:lncRNA from 1 species